AAACUGAAGAGUUUGAUCAUGGCUCAGAUUGAACGCUGGCGGCAGGCUUAACACNNNNNNNNNNAAGUCGAGCGGUAACAGGGGUAGCUUGCUACCCGCUGACGAGCGGCGGACGGGUGAGUAAUGCAUAGGAAACUGCCCAGUAGUGGGGGAUAGCCCGGGGAAACCCGGAUUAAUACCGCGUACGCCCUUCGGGGGAAAGCAGGGGAUCUUCGGACCUUGCGCUAUUGGAUGUGCCUAUGUCGGAUUAGCUAGUUGGUGGGGUAAAGGCCUACCAAGGCGACGAUCCGUAGCUGGUCUGAGAGGAUGAUCA
rnacentral:rRNA from 1 species